UUUUUAAAAAAUAAAUAAAUUUAUAGUGAACAAAUCAUUUCAUUCAUAUGUAGAAAGAGUACAAUAUAGGCUUGUUCAGCUUGCAUAGAAGCAUUACCCAACCCAGUUUUGAUUCCAAAUCUAUAUAACCUAAACCUACAAGAUUCAAAAUUCUACUGAUAUAUAUCUAGUAUGUUUUUUUAGACUAAAAGAUAUAUCUAACACGGGUCGAUCAUUUUGUCAACUCUUGAAUCAGAGACAUAAGGUUAGUAUAAGACGAUCCGUUCUCCAUCAAAGCAACUCUACACUUUUCUCUCAUAUCUUUUACCUUCCUCCUAAUCUCAUCACUA
rnacentral:lncRNA from 1 species